UUAAGUUGACCGUCCUGGGGAGUACGGCCGCAAGGUUAAAACUCAAAUGAAUUGACGGGGGCCCGCACAAGCGGUGGAGCAUGUGGUUUAAUUGGAAGCAACGCGAAGAACCUUACCAGGCCUUGACAUCCAAUGAACUUUCCAGAGAUGGAUUGGUGCCUUCGGGAACAUUGAGACAGGUGCUGCAUGGCUGUCGUCAGUUCGUGUCGUGAGAUGUUGGGUUAAGUCCCGUAACGAGCGCAACCCUUGUCCUUAGUUACCAGCACGUAAUGGUGGGCAUUUUAAGGAGACUGCCGGUGACAAACCGGAGGAAGGUGGGGAUGACGUCAAGUCAUCAUGGCCCUUACGGCCUGGGCUACACACGUGCUACAAUGGUCGGUACAAAGGGUUGCCAAGCCGCGAGGUGGAGCUAAUCCCAUAAAACCGAUCGUAGUCCGGAUCGCAGUCUGCAACUCGAUUGCGUGAAGUCGGAAUCGCUAGUAAUCGCGAAUCAGAAUGUCGCGGUGAAUACGUUCCCGGGCCUUGUACACUCCGCCCGUCACACCAUGGGAGUGGGUUGCACCAGAAGCAGGUAGUCUAACCUUCGGGAGGACGGUUACCACGGUGUGAUUC
rnacentral:rRNA from 1 species